rnacentral:tRNA from 1 species
GCGGGUGUGGCGAAAUCAGGCAGUCGCGCAAGGCUAAGUCUUUGUGUCGAAAGACGUGAGAGUUCGAACCUCUCCGCCCGCACCA